rnacentral:rRNA from 1 species
GAUGAACGCUGGCGGCGUGCCUAACACAUGCAAGUCGAGCGACCGGACGAGAAGCUUGCUACCCUGAUGUUAGCGGCGGACGGGUGAGUAACACGUGUAUAACCUACCUAUCAUACUGGGAUAACUUCGGGAAACCGGAGCUAAUACCGGAUAAUAUUUUGAACCGCAUGGUUCAAAAGUGAAAGACGGUCUUGCUGUCACUUAUAGCUGGAUCCGCGCUGCAUUAGCUAGUUGGUAAGGUAACGGCUUACCAAGGCAACGAUGCAUAGCCGACCUGAGAGGGUGAUCGGCCACACUGGAACUGAGACACGGUCCAGACUCCUACGGGAGGCAGCAGUAGGGAAUCUUCCGCAAUGGGCGAAAGCCUGACGGAGCAACGCCGCGUGGGUGAAGAAGGUCUUCGGAUCGUAAAACUGUGUUAUUAGGGAAGAACAGAUGUGUAAGUAACUGUGCACAUCUUGACGGUACCUAAUGAGAAAGCAACGGCUAACUACGUG